rnacentral:sRNA from 1 species
GAAGGACAGAUGGACGGACGGAUGGAAUUUAUUAGGGGAAUUGGCUCAUUUAAUUAUGGAGGUUGAAAAGUCCCCACAAUAGUCUAUUUGCAAGCUGGAUACCCUGGGAUGCCAGUAGUAUGGCUCAGUGGAAGUCUGAAGGCCUGAGGACAAGGGGAACCAAAGGAGGAAAAUGGAUUGCAGAAAACGAAGACAAAACAGUCGAAUAGAGCAAAGUGUUU